AUGUCACAUCAGUUCUCAAAACGUUGUAGAUUUUGGAGCAUUUCAUAUUUCGGAUUUGGGAAUUAGGGAUGCUCAAUCUGUAACAGUUAUUGGAUCCAGCAUAUUGAAUAAGCAUGAGUCAUGCCAGAAACCAAAUUUUAGUUCAGUGUGUUCCCUUCCUCCCCGCUAAGCGCUCUGUAGGGUCCAGCCCUACAGGGUCCUGUGAGUCCCUCUCUACAGGUGUAGAGAUGAGAAACUGUGAAAAUAAAGACACAAGACACAGAGACAGAGAAAAGAGAGUUUGGACCCAGGGGUCCACUGUCAACCAAAGUGCGGAGUCCGGCAGUGGCCUCCAGUGCCUGGACGCUCUGACUUUUACUGAAUACAAAGCAGGGGGCAGGGGAGGUAGGCCAAGCAAUGGUGAUCA